AUGCUGGAAGCUCCAGUCCAAAAGAGAAAGAAAAGAUCAUCUCAAGCAGAAAUGAAAGGAUAUGGAGAUUACAUGCUCAUAUGGAAGGCCAAGGAAAGUCAAGCAGGAAAAAGCAAGAGGGUAAACACAAGACAAGGAGUCACCAAGCACUACUGUUCCACUAUCAUCACUGCAGUCUGGCUCUCUGCAGUUUUGUUUUACUGAUACAGGAAGUAAUGCCAUUUCAUGUACCCAAGAGAGACACCAAGAAAGGCUAUAAUCUUUGCUAAUGUGACUCCAACGUUACAAGAAAAAGGAUAAUGGGAUUCUGGAGCAAGCAUGCUUUCAUUUACUCUGUUGGAAGUAUGGAAUUAAGAACUGAUUUCCGUGGAUAUAUUCCUUGUUUCUCUAAAAGCACAAUCUGUCUCUAGGGUUACCUUCAGUACUGGAAGUGCAGUUCUGAUCUGCAGAUUUGUCCUGAUGAGAAGGAAAACGACAUAAAAGAAUUAGGAUGAAGAAGGCAUGCAAGAAUAAAUCUUUGCAGUAUAUAAUUUUGCA
rnacentral:lncRNA from 1 species